CUCAAAAUAAUCCAAACGUCAUUGCUACGUGAAAAAUCACGUGGAUCAUUCCAAAUUCAUUUUGCCUUAUCUUCACCUGACCAAGGUAAUUAUUACUAGAGCAUAUAUAAUCACCAAAUGGAGUCCGGGUGAUUGUUACCGAAGCUACCCGUCGCACUUACGUGAAAAUCACGUAGGCAUUUACAUUCAUUUUGACAUCGCGUUCAUUCUCUGUUUUGACAUCGCGUGCAUUCUCGGUUCAAUUUUUAAAAUGGUGGCCGCUUGUUUUUCCAGGAGUUGCUGGACUUUAAAACAACUUUUGGAUUGAUUUCAUGCUUACGAAACAUAGAACAGCAAAUCCGAACAAAUUUGUAAUGCAGUUGGGCCAGGGAUGCCACCGUGUCGGUCAGUGGGUAUUGGACAUUGAUUCACACUAUCAAUUGAAAACAAUGUGAAUACAUUGUAUUCGCAAUAACGAUUGAAUGCAAUAAAUACUUGAAUUCUU